rnacentral:tRNA from 1 species
UUCCCUGUAGCUCAGUUGGUAGAGCAUGGUGUUUGCAACGCCAGCAUGGUGUGUGCAACGCCAGGGUUGUGGGUUCGAUUCCCACAGGGGGGC